ensembl:snRNA U4 U4 spliceosomal RNA
AGCUUUGUGCAGUGGCACUAUUGUAGCUACUGAGGUUCCUCCAGGGUGCGAUUAUUGCUAAUUAAAAACAUUUCCCAAUACCCUGGUGUGAUGACUUGCAUUAGAGUGGGCAUAGGCAAUUUUUGACAGUCUCUACAGAGA